UGGGGAAUUUUGGACAAUGGGGGAAACCCUGAUCCAGCCAUCCCGCGUGUGCGAUGAAGGCCUUCGGGUUGUAAAGCACUUUUGGCAGGAAAGAAACGUCAUGGGUUAAUACCCCGUGAAACUGACGGUACCUGCAGAAUAAGCACCGGCUAACUACGUGCCAGCAGCCGCGGUAAUACGUAGGGUGCAAGCGUUAAUCGGAAUUACUGGGCGUAAAGCGUGCGCAGGCGGUUCGGAAAGAAAGAUGUGAAAUCCCAGAGCUCAACUUUGGAACUGCAUUUUUAACUACCCGGCUAGGGUGUGUCAGAGGGAGGUGGAAUUCCGCGUGUAGCAGUGAAAUGCGUAGAUAUGCGGAGGAACACCGAUGGCGAAGGCAGCCUCCUGGGAUAACACUGACGCUCAUGCACGAAAGCGUGGGGAGCAAACAGG
rnacentral:rRNA from 1 species